GUGGUGUUACCGAACCUCCUGUGGGGAAUUGCAAAACUGCGUGGUUUGACCGUGAUAACCCAUCAGGAAAUGGAGAUUAUGAAAUCUUCCCCAAUCUGCGAACUGAGAAUCCUGGUCAGAUCUGCAUGGAUCCAAUCGCCUGUGAGGUGGAGACAACGUCAGGGAUUCCGGCCUCACAGACUGGAGAGAACAUUGCCAGGUACAAAAUAGAGCCAGCCAUAUUAUAGCACUUUUAUUAUUUCAUUCAAAGUGCAUCAGUAGUUUUAUCAACAACUUUAUCAUAUGUCCCUACAUUCUACUCAACAGUUGCAACGUUAUUACUGGAUUCUUUUGUGUGAACAGCAACCAACGUGAUCGCGCAUGUCAAGAUUACAGAAUACGAUUCACCUGCCCUGAUUCCUUUUGUGGUGUUACCGAACCUCCUGGUGAGUAUAUCGAUCCCAUUAUAAAGAGGGCAAUGUUAACAGUAAUAUGAAAGCUCUUAUGAGUUUCAUACAGUAUGUUUUAAUGUCCGCUACAUAAUAACUAAGUUAAAACACUGGCAUAACAGAUUAUAGGCGCUUCAGUGCGACUGAACCUCAAGAGUUGCUUGUAGUUAUCAGCUUAUUAAGGAAACAAAAUGUGUCCAUGUCAUGGAGUGAAUGCAAAACAGAUUCAUGGGAAAGGUGGCAGAAAUUGUGAUUUAGCCACAUGAGAAGAAAUUGCAAAGACUAGGAAUACAAACUACAGCAGAUAUGGAUUACAAAAUGCUGGAAUAACAGAACGUAUCAGGCAUCAUCUCCGAGAUCAUGAAUAGGUCCUGUUUCGAUUCGGGACCCAUCUUCAGACUAGAACCUUUUUCUCUAGGGAUUGUAGAAUGGGAAGUCGUCUCUGACUCCUGCUCCUAAUUCUAACUUUCUUUUCUGAUAUUCUGAUUUAUUUGUUAGAAGGUAACUAGAGUACUCAUAAAAACUUUGUGUGGUGUUAAUUCAUCGUAAAGGCCUGUCAUUUCUGUGAUCAUCUUUUCCCCUCUCUUGAACAAAGGAGUAACUUCUGCGUUUCUCCGGUCCUCUGACAUCACUUGUUCACUUGAGGAAAGUGACUCACGUAAGAGUAAUUUGAGUAUUCUGCCAGGCAUGAUUCAGGAUUGCAGAAUGUGGGAUUGUCACGAGGAGGACCAGGAAAACUAGACAUGGAUUUCGUAGGAAUUCUGGGACAUGGUACCAGGCUGGUAAUUUAUAAAGUUUGGAUUUUAUUGAGGAGAGAGGGAUGGCGAUUGAUGUGAAGGGGUCAGGACCAAUGGCAGCAGUGAGAGGAAACAGUCACCAACAUCAGCAAAUAUGGGGCAAGAAGAAAUAAGUGAAGUGAUGUGCAGAACAGUGAACAAGGUGGAGGGAGCUGGAACUAGGUCUCAUGUACUUGAGUAUAUGAUGCGUUCUGAUGAGAAAUAUUGUUCAUGUAAGUUGUGCCCAACGGUUAGCAAAUCGAUCAGGUCUCUCUGUCUCGACAUGAAAGGUAACCUAUUCCUUACCUCUAGAGAUGCUACCUGGAGCUAAUUUGCUCCAUAAUUUUGUGUCAAUCUGUCAGACCCAAUGUUUACUUUCAAUCUACUUUCUCUUUCUGCUCUUCUUCAGUAGGGAAUUGCAAAACUGCAUGGUUUGACCGUGAUAACCCAUCAGGAAAUGGAGAUUAUGAAAUCUUCCCCAAUCUGCGAACUGAGAAUCCCGGUCAGAUCUGCACGGAUCCAAUCGCCUGUGAGGUGGAGACAACGUCAGGGAUUCAGGCCUCACAGACUGGAGAGAACAUUGCCAGUUGCAACGUUUCUACUGGAUUCUUUUGU